UUUACUUGAGCGUAUAGCAUCAAAUAUGUGCGAAAUCGCAGUAAGAAACCGCUGCCUGUGAGCCCAGCUACAAAUCUACAGGAGGCGCGUCGUUUAUGGGUCUUCAUCCUUCCAGUUAUCGUGGGUACUAGUACACCUACACUGCAGGACCUCAAGGAUUUCUUGAACACACACCAAAAGAUCUGGUUGUUCUUGACUAGCAAAACUAGCUACACCGGCAAAUAUGAACAUAAGUGCAUCGCUUUUCAAGUUCUAGAUAGCCAAGAAAGCGAGUACACACUUGCCGAAUUCUACGAAUAUCACUUGCUUUGGGAAUACUAUAAGUUGUAUGCAAAUAUUUCCAUGGUGCAACAAGGCAGUAAGAGAUACCCCGUCAUGGAUGUAGGCAAAACAAAAGGAGCACCUGGGAUUCGAUAUACCCUCCAGUUAUGGGACCCAAACGAUCGUUGCGCCGUUCGCACAUAUAACGAGGGUGGAAACACUGAAUGCCAAUUACAUAUUUGGCAUGAAGCAGUUAGAAGAAAUGUGACCAAAUGCAAAAACACCUUUAAAAAGCACUGCCCAAAAAGGAAGCACCGGGUUUUCUAUUACAAGACUUGCGCUGGAUAGCAAAAAUGAAAAGGAAUUGAUGAAAAGUUGUCCAUUUCUUCACGAUUUCUUGAAAUGUGCACACGUGCAACUACACAACCUAAUAAUCUAAUUAGCCUAGUCCUUGAACAGGAAACCAUGCUGCAAUUAUUUCUUCUAUUGCACUUUCACCACAGACUAACAGAUGUAUGCACAAAGUCCAUUAACAUGGAUUGUAUUCUGAAAACAGAGUUUGUAAUAAUGUGUCGUGCUGUCGGCGUUCUACAUUGUCGAUGCUAUUAUCUGACCUGUCCACAACAUGUGAAUGCACAUUGAUCUUGCUGCUAGUCUUCAUGUUAUCACGAGCGUUCAUACCUUUACCUGUUGUAUUCAGCCUGAAUUAUUAAUUCAAUAAAACUGUUGGUGUACACUUGUGGCAAUAUUAAAGGUAAUAUUAC
rnacentral:lncRNA from 1 species